rnacentral:lncRNA from 1 species
AGGAGGAGGAGGAGGAGGAGGGGGAGGAGGAGGAGGAGAAGAUAAAAGCAGCAUGUUUAUGUAAAUUUAAAUUGUAACAGAUAAUUAUAAGUAAUCACAAAUUUCAUCAAAACCACAUUUUAAAAGUUAUACUAGAAAAAUGUUUUUCCUGAGAUGACUUCUCCUUAGUCACAGUGAAACCAAUGAUGGGCACACAGGGACCUAUAUUUGCCAAAGCAAUCAUUCUGACUUCUGCUAUAGGUGUUCCAAGAGACUCCUGCUACAGAACAGCUAAAGUGUAGGAAAAAACACCAUUUGAAACACUGCUAGUCUCAAAAGAGGCAAGGGAAAGUUCCAAGAAUUCUCCUCAAAUUUUAAAAAAAAGGGAGUUCGGGGGACUGAGUAAAGAUGGUACCUGAGUGGCAGGUAGGCAGAAGGGCAGGCCAGCAGCAAGACUGGGAUAGGAAACCUGAAGCUUCCUCCCCAAGCUGAGAACUCAGGGAGUUCAGCCUCCCAAAUUCAGCCUCCCAAAGUGCUGGGAUUAUAGGCAUGAGCCACUGCACCGGCCCCAAAUAGAUUUUUAAUGGUUUAGAAAUGAAAAACAGGAGCUGGAGGACAUUAUCCUUAGCAAACUAAAGCAGGAACAGAAAACCAAAUAUUGCAUGUUCUCACUUAUAAGUAGGAGCUAAAUGAUGGGAACACAUGGACACAUGGAGAGGAACAACAGGUACUAUGGCCUAUCAGAGGGUGGAAGGUGGAAGAAGGGAGAGGAUCAGCAAAAAUAACGAAUGGGUACUAGGCUUAGUAUCUGGGUGACAGAAUCAUCUGUACAACAAACCCUCAUGACACAAGUUUACCUAUAACAAACCUGCACAUGUACCCCUGAACCUAAAAGUUAAAAAAAAAAUUAAAAUAAAAAAUGAACAAUUCUACUGAUAAAAUGUAGAAUUUCAUUUCAUGUCAUUUUAUUUAGAAUUUUAUAAAUCUACAGUCAUACACGGGAGAGUGCUAAAGCACUGAUUAAAAGAGCAAAACACUAGAAAUAAUCUUUAUGUCUCACUGGGAGCUGGUUAAAGAAAAAUGGAAUGUUAUACAGUCAUACAAAGUAACACAGAUCUGUAUUUCAAGACUACAGUCACUCAGUAUGCAAUAUAACAAAUAACAAGGCAUUAACCAUUGUUUUAAAGAGAAAUGCAAAACAUGAUGAAAUGAGAUUUCUUGGAUAAAUCUAGGUAUCCUGGAUAUCUUUAAAUAAAGUUUGUUUUAAAGAGUCUGACUUUGCAAUUUUAUAAAUAUCUUCGAAUAGUGAUAUUGUAAUAGAAACUAAAUAUUUAUAGUAUACUUUCAUAAAAGAUCUUCCAUACAAAAGGCAUAUUUGCUAAAGGAUCCUCCAAAACAAAAGAUGUAAGUUUUUAAGGUAAUUUGGGGGAUACAGAAUAAGAAAAAUAAUCCCAAGUGUUAUUUCAUAAAAUCAUCAUUCAAAAUACAUGUCAAUACUCAACAUGAGAUAUUCUUAAAGCUUCGCAGAAAUCCUUUACUCACUAAUAAAAAACUGACAUGUUUCCUCUGGAAUAAGAGCCUGUUACCAACAGUGGUGCUGAAAUCUGUCUCAAUUUCAAUUUCUGUUGCCAGCUUACAUACUAUUCUUUCAACAUGUAACUCAAGGUCAACUUUCUCACUAUUGUAAAUCAUUUAGUUAAAAAAAAUGAUCAUUGUUAUUCUAUACAUUUCCUACAAGUAAUUUCUAAUUAAUUUAAAGAAAAGCUUAUUAUUGACCUUCAACUAGAUAAACAGAAUCCAAAAAGCUUUUUACAAUUUAUAUAAUAAAACUGAUUUUGAAAAGUUAGGCCCUUGGAUUUUUUUUUUCUUUUUUUAGUAAGCUUAAAAAAAAAAAAGUAAAAUUUCCUCCCCACUACUUUUUAUCUAUUUAUUUUUUUAGAGAUGGGGUCUUGCUCUGUUGCCGAGGCUGGAGUGCCACGGUGCGAUCUCGGCUCACCACAACCUCCACCUCCCAGGUUCAAGCAAUUCUUCUUCUUCAGCCUCCUGAGUAGCUGGGAUUACAGGCACAUGCCACCAUGCCUGGCUAAUUUUGUAUUUUUAGUAGAGACGGGUUUUCACCAUGUUGGCCAGGCUGGUCUCAAAUUCCUGACUUCAAGUGAUCCUCCUGCCUCAGCCUCCCAAAGUGCUGGGAUUACAGGUGUGAGCCACCGAGCCCGGCCCCCACUACUUUUUAAAAACUAACAGCUUAUAUUGUCAAGACAUGGAAAUGGCAACCUUGAUAAAGUAAUGAGUAAUAGCACAUUCCCUUGGUUGCCACCCUCAAAGAAUUCUGAGCUCUAUAACACAAAGUAAGACAUUUUCAUAAUCACAGUUUUAUUUAUAAAUAGAGAGUAUCAAAGCAACCCAAGACUAGCUAGUCACAUCUGUUUUUUAUUCAAAUACACAAUAGAGUCCUGAGCAUAAGCUUUAGGCAGGAAAAAAAAACAACCUUCUGUGGGUUGUUCUGGGGGUUUGUUUUGGAGGAGGGGCGCUGCUGUGCUUAACAUAAAAUAUCCACAUCCUACAAAUCCUUUGUAUGUGCAACAUACAAAGUUGAUUUAGAAUUUAAUUUAGAAUUCAAGCUUUUUUCCAGUUGUAACUGGACUACUUGGUACUUUGCAUCUGUUCAUUAAAAAAUAACUCAAAAUAGGGCCAAGCAUGGUGGCUCAUGCCUGUAAUCCCAGCACUUUGGGAGGCCGAGGUGCACAGAUUGCUUGAGCUCAGGAGUUUGAGACUAGCUUGGGCAACAUGGCGUAACCCCAUCUCUACUAAAAAUACAAAAAUUAGCGGGGUAUUGUGGCGCAUGCCUGUAGUCCCAGCUAUUCAGGAGGCUGAGGUGGGAGGAUGACUUGAACCCAGGAGGCAGAGGUUGUAGUGAGCCAGGACUGCACUGCUGCUCUCCAGCCUGGACAGCAGAGCUAGAUCCUGUCUCAAAAAAAAGAGAGGGAGGGAGGCAGGGAGAAAACAAUGUUCCAAAAAUUAUGGUAAAUCACUAAAUUUAUUUGUGUGUCAUUUCAUCUUUUUGAAGUUAAAAGUAAUUGACAUUUUGGUUAGGAAAUGCAAUAUCUGCAGCUGAAAUACACAAGUUUGGAUAUUUAAAUUAAAUUAGGGCCAGGCACAGUGGCUCACGCAUGUAAUCCCAGCACUUUGGUAGGUCGAGGUGAGCAAAUCACCUGAGGUCAGGUGCUCAAGACAAGCCUGGACAACAUGGCAAAAUCCCGUCUCUACUAAAAAUACAAAAAUUAGCUGGGUAUGGUGGCAGGUGCCUGUAAUCCUAGCUACUCAGGAGGCUGAGGCAGGAGAAUCACUUGAACCCGGGAGGCGGAGGUUGCAGUGAGCUGACAUUGCACCACUGCACUCCCGCCUGGACAACAGAAUGAGACUCCAUCUCAAAAACAUUAAUUAAUUAAUUAAAUUACGUUGUUUUCUAAAAAUGGAAUUUUAUUAAGGAACACAUAACAGAACAUUGAAUGCAUUUAUGAGGUUAAAUUUUUCAAAGAUUUUUUUUUAAGCUGAACCAUAAUUAAGAAUAUCAACCUACUACCCGUUUUUAAAGGGUAUGUGUUCCGUUAUUCCCCAGGUCAAUUUUCUUUUUCUAUCCUUUUUUUUUUUUUUUUUUUUUUUUUUGAGACGGGUCUCGUUCUGUCACCCAGGCUACAGUGCAGUGGUGUGAUCUCAGCUCACUGCAACUUCCGCCUCCCACUUUAGCCUCGCGAGCAGCUGGGACUACACGAAUUUUCUUUCUCUUUUUUUGAAAUGGGGUCUUGCCCCAGCCAUCCCAUUACUGGGUAUAUACCCAAACGAUUAUAAAUCAUGCUGCUAUAAAGACACAUGCACACGUAUGUUUAUUACGGCACUAUUCACAAUAGCAAAGACUUGGAAUCCACCCAAAUGUCCAUCAAUGAUAGACUGGAUUAAGGGCACAUAUACACCAUGGAAUACUAUGCAGCCAUAAAAAAGGAUGAGUUCAUGUCCUUUGUAGGGACAUGGAUGAAGCUGGAAACCAUCAUUCUCAGCCAACUAUCGCAAGGCCAAAAAAACAAACACUGCAUGUUCUCACUCAUAGGUGGGAAUUGAACAAUGAGAACACUUGGACACAAGAAGGGGAACAUCACACACCAGGGCCUGUUGUGGGGUGGGGGGAAGGGGGAGGGAUAGCAUUAGGAUAUAUACCUAAUGUAAAUGACAAGUUAAUGGGUGCAGCACACCAACAUGGCACAUGUAUACAUAUGUAACAAACCUGCACGUUGUGAACAUAUACCCUAGAACUUAAAGUAUAAUAAAAUAAAUAAAUAAAUAAAUAAAUAAAACACUAAAAAAAAAAAAAGAGAGAGAGAGAGAGAAAUGGGGUCUUGCUCUGUCAUCCAGGCUGGAGUGCUGUAGCACGACCAAGGCUCACUGCAGCUUCAACCUCCAUGGCUCAAGCAAUCCUCUUGCCUCAGCCUCCCAAGCAACUGGGACCACAACAGAUGUGCUCUACCACAUACAGCUGAUUUUUAAUCUUUGGUAGAGACCAGGUCUAUGUGGCUCAGACUGGUUUCAAACUCCUGGGGCUCAAGUGAUCCUCAUGCCUCAGCCUCCCAAAGUGUUGGGAAUACAGGUAAGAGCCACCUGCUUGGUGCCCUAGGACAAAUUUCAAACUCCUAAAAGAUCCAUGUUUUCAUUCCACUUUUUUUUUUUUUUUUUUUUUUGAGACAGAGUCUCGCUCUGUGGCCAGGCUGGAGUGCAGUGGCGUGAUCUCAGCUCACUGCAAACCUCCACCUCCCUGGGUUCAAGCGAUUCCCUGCCUCAGCCACCCGAGUAGCUGGGAUUACAGGCACGCGCCACCACGCCCAGCUCAUUUUUGUAUUUUUAGUAGAGAUGGGGUUUCACCAUGUUGGCCAGGAUGGUUUCGAUCUCUUGACCUCAUGAUCUGCCCACCUUGGCCUCCCAAAGUGCUGGGAUUACAGGCAUGAGCUACCAUGCCCUGCCUAUUCCACUUUUUUUUAAGGGGAAGCAGGGGAGGGUGGCUAGGAACUGGUGAGGGAGGGGAGAACUGAGGUGGGAUUGCAGAGCAGUAGGCAGGACUUUCUACUAAACGUUAAAACUGAAGUAACUAUCAGAAGAGUCAAACUUUUACAUAAACUAUUUUUAAAAGGUAAAAAUUUCUUAAAAAUCAAAGAAAUCCUAGGUGAAAUGGCUCUUUGAUGGUCUAAAGAGUGCUUAAAAUACGUUCUUACCUGGGCACUCUUGGAUCAUGCCAUGUGCUCACACCAGUCUGUGUAUGUAAGAAAUACACCUGGCCUUGUUGCGUUGUCCUCUGUUCUGUAAAAUUAAUAAACACUGAUAACAAAAACAUUCAGAGUGUCCAGAUCAAAGACAGUUAUAUACACUAAGAUGAUAUACUAAUAGGGAAAAAUCUCCAAAUUACCAAUCUAUUUUAUUUAUUAUCAAAAAAGGGCUUUACAAAUCAUUUGUUCUGUCUCUUGGAAACAAUUUUACAAAUGAUGAGGGCCACAGGCCAGCUAUCCAUAAACAAACUAAACUUAUAACGUGGCUUAAAUACUAAAUAUGUUGCAAUGGAAAACAAAUCAAGAUUGUCACAAUACUAAUAACUAAAAAAUUUUAAAUGAUGUAUAAAAGGCUCUGAGAAAGAGGCUGGCCAACAUUGGGAAGAUUUGAGGAGGAACUUCCAGAAAUUUUCAAAGAGUCUGGAGGUUGAUAAUGCUUAUUAUGCCUAAUUUUAUACCAAAACUUAUGUUUUCUCUUUGCUAGACAAAGGUAUAUUCUCAAGAUUACAUUUGAGCUCAAAGAGAAGCAAAACAGAUGAGAUACUGGGGAGACAUUCUAUGUCAUAAACAGAUAGAGAUGGAAAAAUAGCCAAAUUAGAAAGAAGAGGACUAAAGAGCAAGCACGCACACUGGGGAGAAAAAAGUCAAGGACAAAAUGAACUCAAAAUCCUUGGGAAGACAGAGGAAAGGCCAGGGUGAAGAGAACAAUCUCUAAAAGGGUUUCUUUAUGGUGGGUUUUGUUUUGUCUUUUUUUUUUAGAACAACAGAACCACUUUUCUUUAGACAAAAUCCAGUGAGAAACUUCAAUACAUAAAAAACUAUUACUAAUAUUUAUUAGUAUAAAUCUAAUUUGUUUAUAAACGUAUAAUGUCAAUAAAUUUAAACUUUAAACUUUCACAGAUUAUAAACAAAAUCAUAUUACUAUAGAGGACAGCUGUAAUAACUUCAGCCUUGGUAUCCACUUUAUUUUUAUGUUUUGGUUGUACAGUUUUUAAAAUUCAAAUCACAGAAAUAUUGUAGAAGUAUAACCACUCCCACUCUAAAGAGCUUGCCUUAUAAUCUCAAAGAGAAAUGGCAGGAGAGUAUUUCUUCUCAGGUCUGAACACUGAUAAUGACAGUUAAAAUUUACUAUGCCAGACACUGUGCCAGCAUUUCACAUGAAAUUAGAUAUCACUGAUUUCUUGCAACAAACCUAGAUGGUUGGUGCUGUUAUUUUCCUCUAUAGAGGAUAAAAUUGAGGCUCAAAGAGGUUAAAUAAUGUGCUCGGUGUUACAUGGCAAAGCCAGGAUACGAACCUAGGUCCUAAGUCUGUCUGUCACUCAAGCCUAUAAUUUAAUGAUUGUGCUAAAAGUUAACCUUUGAGUCAUAGCACAGUUAAUGGACAAGUUUUUUCAAAUUAAAGAGCUAAAAUACAUUUAAAACUAAAAUAAGAAUCAUGCAUUUGCAGAAGAGUUUUAAAAUAUAUUCUUGAGUAAAAUAAAACUUAGAUGUGGCAAUUCCCAGUGUUGGUCAUUAGAUGUCAACAUCAAUCCAAAGUGGUUUAUCUAUAGUCUGUUAAGAGGGCAAAGAUGUAAGUAACCUUGGUGAGCUUUUGGCAAGAAGAGGAAGUCAAGUUCAGACUAUAUACAAGGAUUCACAAGAUGGUAUUAAAUUAGAAACUUCCGUAUUCUAUUAGGAGAAGACUCAUGUUAUCUUCCACAUGAAACUUUAUAAUCUAGGAUUUUAUAUAAGAUUGUAAUCAUUUUAUACAAACAUAGAAGUGACUCAGUCAUUUACAACAAUCCAAUCAGAUAAUCCAAAAUUACAGACAAUACAAAUAUAUGAUCAGAAAUAUGCCUUUAAAAUUAUUUCUAAAUAUAUAUGUCUAAAAAAUUAUGUCAUAGGUUGAACUUCAGAUUACCGUUAUCAGUAACAAUACCAUCUUACCUUUCUAUACAGUGCCUAUUUACAAAACAGUCUCACUUCAUUUCGUAUGCUUCUCACACUACCUUUGUUAUAAACUAGUCAUCUCACUUCAUUAUAGAAGAGCACAAACGCUGAGGCUGAAUGAUGAGCACAAGGUCAAACUGUUGGUUAGGUAGUCAUCUACCACUUCAAAGACUUUUCAAAGUUGGGAGGUUUUAUAUUUAUUUUCAUGCAGAAUCCCUAAGCUCAGAUUAAUAACUUUUUCAAAAUAUAUUUUCUGACUUCCUCAGCAAACUGAAAUCAGUAAACCACAUUUUAUUUUUCCUUUGUAGUUGUCAUACCAUAGCCUUCUGGUAGGUCUGGAGGAGUAUGUAAAUGUGUUCUGCUCAUGUAAUUUCUAUGUCGUUG